rnacentral:tRNA from 1 species
CCUUCGAUAGCUCAGCAGGUAGAGCAGAGGACUGUAGACUUGAUAGAUGUGGGCAUCCUUAAGUUGCUGGUUUGAUUCUGGAUCAAAGGA